AGAGUUUGAUCCUGGCUCAGAGUGAACGCUGGCGGCAGGCCUAAUACAUGCAAGUCGAACGGCAGCACAGCAGAGCUUGCUCUGUGGGUGACGAGUGGCGGACGGGUGAGGAAUACGUGGGAAUCUGCCCAGUCGUGGGGAUAACGUAGGGAAACUUACGCUAAUACCGCAUGCGCCCUUCGGGGGAAAGCCGGGGACCUUCGGGCCUGGCGCGAUUGGAUGAGCCCACGUCGGAUUAGCUAGUUGGCGGGGUAAAGGCCCACCAAGGCGACGAUCCGUAGCUGGUCUGAGAGGAUGAUCAGCCACACUGGAACUGAGACACGGUCCAGACUCCUACGGGAGGCAGCAGUAGGGAAUAUUGGACAAUGGGCGCAAGCCUGAUCCAGCCAUGCCGCGUGAGUGAAGAAGGCCCUCGGGUUGUAAAGCUCUUUUGUCCGGAAAGAAAAGCGCCGGGUUAAUACCCUGGUGUCCUGACGGUACCGGAAGAAUAAGCACCGGCUAACUUCGUG
rnacentral:rRNA from 1 species